UUUCGAGCGAUAUGGCGUGAAGCGAGAAGCGUGAUUCGCGUCAUUGCUUACUUUUUGCGUUCCAGCUUAGGAAAUCGGUUGUCGAAGCUACCGAAACGGUUUUCGCGGCACUGGAAGAGAACGCUGUAUCUUACGGUACGUGCAAGAAGAUUUAAAGCCGGAAAUUUUAAUUUGGAAGACGACGAUCAUUUGAGUGCAUCGAGAAAGUUCGGUGAAAAAUCGCUCGAUGAAAAUCCGACCCAGACGCGAGAAGAAUUGACGCAGAAAAAAACGAUUGAGUAAUCUUGAUGAUACUUUUCGUAGGAGCUAGCAUCCCUGGCUAAAAUAAGAUAUACGGGAAAGGCACAAAGGGAGGCUAAGAAGGGAGAAGAAAAAAAAAAAAAAAUAGAGACUUGAAUGAGCUUCCUCUCUUCGAAGAAGGAGAAGAAGAUCUUCGGUAGAUAGUGAUUACACGACGCAGCGGUGUACGAUGGCGCGGAUAGGAGGAAAGAAGAAAAGGAGACGAGGAAACGAUGACGAGGGAACGGUUUCGAGGAUCGAUGACAAUAAUAAAAAGACGCGUAUCAUCGAUUCGUAGGUGUGUUCGAGUAUCGCUUUCUACUAAGUUAGGGAUAAUCCGCUUAUGCCCGGGGCCGGCCUGUCGUUCAACGGUCGUUCAUCGCCGUUCUCGGUGGCAUUGUUGCCGGCGUUUUGUGAGAAAACAGCAUUUUCGACGCUCGAGGUGGCGACAAGAAGAGGGCUUAACUUAUCUCCGUCACAACAAGAACGGGCAGCCCUCCCUUUUCGCGUGGGACGAUCCUACGUUUUUUCCUGCACCUGAUUCACUUGAGAAUAUCGUGUACGUAAAAAAUAGGUAAAUACACCUCUGAAUCUAAUCCGAUCCGAGUAUUAUUAGUAAAUUUAAAAAAAUUCACGAAACCAAGUUUUUUUUAAAAAGUUUCUUCAGAAUGAUUUCUAAUGAUUAUCGCGUAGUUUUUCUUUUCGCUUUAAAUAAAUUUUUAUAAUCGCUCCCUCGACCAAUCUUGGAAUAAUCUUCGACUGUUCUCGAUCAAUUUAUUCCACGCUUUUGCGCGGAAAAAGAGGAUAUUAAAAAGAGUUGCAACGGUAUUCGAAGCGAUAACUCUUUUAAGCACGAUAUUCGUGAUCGAUGAAGGGUUGCACGAUCACCCCUCUCCUUUUCUUUCCUCGUAUAAUCCCAUGAAUACAUAAUCUAGAUGCAAACAGCCGCCACGCGUGGCUCGUUUUAGAACGACCGUGAUAUUUCACGGAUUACGAAUAUUUGCACUUCGUUUCACGGUAUCUCGAUCUCUCCAUUCAGGAAUCGCGAUCAAUGUCUCUCUCUCUCUUCUCUUUUUUUAUCAUCUCUUUCGUUGUUCGAAAAAAAAAAAAAAUGAAGUUGAUGGAUGAGUUCGAUUCGAUCGACCUGAUCAACGAACCUCGUGCGUAAAUGCCUUUCCUUCCACACGUGUUAUUCACAUGUUAAUUGAUAAAAAAGAUGGAUGAUUAUGAUCCCUAAAAUGGAGAGAGGAAAAAAAGGAUGCAAAAGGAUAAUUAGAAAAUUGUUUUGUAAAUUUUCCGUAGAAUUAUUAUUUGUUCUUAGCUGUCCAUACGUGAACGGUAUUCAGUUUGUUCAUUCGUCAUGUUAGUUUUCACGCGUUGGAACGCGGGAAAGGACGCGUGGGAACGAAGAAACUGAUAAAUAGUAUUAAAGGCAGUAAGAAUGAGAAGCUCGUUGAAUUACAAAAAUUGAUCGUUUUUAACGCUCGAGAAAAAAAAUUCACGAAUCGCUUCCAUCUAAUCUGUACAUCGACAUUAUCUCGAUCUCGGUGAAUCUUUUCCCGCUUUGCUUCGAUAAAAAUGUAAUAAUAAUUUUUACACUUUUGCUCUACGAAAGAUGCGUAAGAUAAGUAAAAGGAUUUCAUCGAUCGACGCGUUUAAAAAAACUAAGCUUAAUCGGAAAAGAAACGACGGUACUAGUCUAAAAUAAUUUUCGAUUAAUCAAAACCAUUCGAUUGGUUAUUUUAAUUCUCUAAUUAGGCUCUACUAAUAAUAAUGUAAAUUCAUCUAAUCCAUCUAGUAAGUAGAUUUUUUUUUUUUUAUUAAAUCUUCGAUGCUAUGAUUACUAUUAAGAUUAUCGUUAUUAUUAUUAUUAUUAUAAUUAUUAUUAUUAUUAUUAUUAUUAUUUCUUAAAAAAUAUAUCAGUCCAAAUAGAACUAUAGAUAAAAUAUAUAGAAAAUUUUGUCCUUUUUUUUUUUUUUACACGUAGUACCGUCUCCUAUCGAUCCUUCCAAGGCGAUACAGGAAAGCA